GUUUUCUCUUUUUUUU
rnacentral:sRNA from 1 species